GUAGGUGAACCUGCGGAAGGAUCAUUAACACGUUUAAAACGUAUCAACAAAUCGGUUAAGUGCAAACUUAUUCCCUAAUUAAGAAAGCUGUUCAAAGAGCCUUAGUGAUGGGUGAAUCUUCGGAUUCACAAGGAUCUUUGGACUAGGGUUUCGAACCCGAGGCAUUCUUCUUUAGGCUAACUUUCUUUCCAUCACUUCAACUCACCAUUUUCACCCCUUUAAAUCUUAUGACUAAAUCUUUCGAACGAAGAAAUUUGCUUGGAAUUGUAUAUCUAACACUGUACAACUCUUAGCAAUGGAUAUCUUGGUUCUC
rnacentral:misc_RNA from 1 species